rnacentral:rRNA from 1 species
UACGAAGGGGGCUAGCGUUGCUCGGAAUCACUGUGCGUAAAGCGCACGUAGGCGGAUUGCUAAGUCAGGGGUGAAAUCCUGGAGCUCAACUCCAGAACUGCCUUUGAUACUGGCGACCUUGAGUCCGGGAGAGGUGAGUGGAACUGCGAGUGUAGAGGUGAAAUUCGUAGAUAUUCGCAAGAACACCAGUGGCGAAGGCGGCUCACUGGCCCGGUACUGACGCUGAGGUGCGAAAGCGUGGGGAGCAAACAGG